CCUACGGGGGGCAGCAGUGGGGAAUAUUGGACAAUGGGGGCAACCCUGAUCCAGCCAUGCCGCGUGUGUGAAGAAGGCCCUCGGGUUGUAAAGCACUUUCAGUGAGGAAGAACGCCUGGUGGUUAAUACCCAUCAGGAAAGACAUCACUCACAGAAGAAGCACCGGCUAACUCCGUGCCAGCAGCCGCGGUAAUACGGAGGGUGCGAGCGUUAAUCGGAAUUACUGGGCGUAAAGCGCGCGUAGGUGGCUUGAUAAGCCGGUUGUGAAAGCCCCGGGCUCAACCUGGGAACGGCAUCCGGAACUGUGAAGCUAGAGUGCAGGAGAGGAAGGUAGAAUUCCCGGUGUAGCGGUGAAAUGCGUAGAGAUCGGGAGGAAUACCAGUGGCGAAGGCGGCCUUCUGGACUGACACUGACACUGAGGUGCGAAAGCGUGGGUAGCAAACAGGAUUAGAUACCCGUGUAGUC
rnacentral:rRNA from 1 species